UACAGGGGAGGCAAGCGUUGUUCGGAAUUACUGGGCGUAAAGGGUUCGUAGGUGGCCAACUAAGUCAGACGUGAAAUCCCUCAGCUUAACUGGGGAACUGCGUCUGAUGACUGGAUGGCUUGAGUGUAGGAGAGGAAUGCGGAAUUCCAGGUGUAGCGGUGAAAUGCGUAGAUAUCUGGAGGAACACCGGUGGCGAAGGCGGCAUUCUGGACUACAACGUGACACUGGGGAACGAAAGCCAGGGGAGCAAACGGG
rnacentral:rRNA from 1 species